rnacentral:rRNA from 1 species
CCAAGGAGUCUAACAUGUGCGCGAGUCAUGGGGUCGUACGAAACCUAAAGGCACAAUGAAAGUGAAGGCAGCCUCCGGUUUGCCUAGGUAGGAUCCUUCCCGUAACGGGGAGGCGCACUACCGGCCCGUCUCGUCCGCAUUGCCGGAGAGGCGGAGCAAGAGCGUACACGUUGGGACCCGAAAGAUGGUGAACUAUGCCUGAGUAGGACGAAGCCAGAGGAAACUCUGGUGGAGGUCCGUAGCGAUUCUGACGUGCAAAUCGAUCGUCAAACCUGGGUAUAGGGGCGAAAGACUAAUCGAACCAUCUA